UAGCGAAGCAACUGUAACUGUAACUAUUAUAGAUAGGACCUAAACCAAAGGUCGAAACGUUGUGAAAGCGUAUUCAAUAAGUGCGGGCCAGGUCGAUUAAAAUUUGAAAUUUUUUUGUAACCAGAUACUUUUAUAAAGUAACUUUCCCAACCCUGAUAAUUAUACCAUUUUGUUAGUGAUUAUGUAAAUUUACUCUUUACAUAACUUGAGGUUCUUGUAACGAAAAAAAAAGAAUUAUUUUUUCAGUA